UACGGAGGGUGCAAGCGUUAUCCGGAUUCACUGGGUUUAAAGGGUGCGUAGGUGGGCUUGUAAAUCAGUGGUGAAAUCUCCGUGCUUAACAUGGAAACUGCCAUUGAUACUAUAGGUCUUGAAUUUUCUGGAGGAUAGCGGAAUAUGUCAUGUAGCGGUGAAAUGCUUAGAUAUGACAUAGAACACCAAUUGCGAAGGCAGCUCACUACACAAUCAUUGACGCUGAGGCACGAAAGCGUGGGGAUCAAACAGG
rnacentral:rRNA from 1 species